rnacentral:rRNA from 1 species
AUGAACGCUGGCGGCGUGCCUCAUACCUGCAAGUCGAGCGAACAGACGAGGAGCUUGCUCCUCUGACGUUAGCGGCGGACGGGUGAGUAACACGUGGAUAACCUACCUAUAAGACUGGGAUAACUUCGGGAAACCGGAGCUAAUACCGGAUAAUAUAUUGAACCGCAUGGUUCAAUAGUGAAAGACGGUUUUGCUGUCACUUAUAGAUGGAUCCGCGCCGCAUUAGCUAGUUGGUAAGGUAACGGCUUACCAAGGCAACGAUGCGUAGCCGACCUGAGAGGGUGAUCGGCCACACUGGAACUGAGACACGGACCAGACUCCUACGGGAGGCAGCAGUAGGGAAUCUUACGCAAUGGGCGAAAGCCUGACGGAGCAACGCCGCGUGAGUGAUGAAGGUCUUCGGAUCGUAAAACUCUGUUAUUAGGGAAGAACAAAUGUGUAAGUAACUAUGCACGUCUUGACGGUACCUAAUCAGAAAGCCACGGCUAACUACGUG